rnacentral:tRNA from 1 species
GGAGUGGUGGCAGAGUGGUCGAAUGCGAUAGUUUGCUAAACUGUUGUACUGGGUAACCGGUACCGAGGGUUCGAAUCCCUCCCACUCCG